rnacentral:rRNA from 1 species
AACGGAGCUAAUACCGGAUAAUAUUUCGAACCGCAUGGUUCGAUAGUGAAAGGUGGUUUUGCUAUCACUUAUAGAUGGACCCGCGCCGUAUUAGCUAGUUGGUAAGGUAACGGCUUACCAAGGCGACGAUACGUAGCCGACCUGAGAGGGUGAUCGGCCACACUGGAACUGAGACACGGUCCAGACUCCUACGGGAGGCAGCAGUC